GACGAACGCUGGCGGCGUGCUUAACACAUGCAAGUCGAACGAUGAAGCCGGAGCUUGCUCCGGUGGAUUAGUGGCGAACGGGUGAGUAACACGUGAGCAAUCUGCCCUUGACUCUGGGAUAACUGCGGGAAACUGUAGCUAAUACCGGAUAAGACACCUUGGGGCAUCCCAGGGUGUGGAAAGAAUUUCGGUCAAGGAUGAGCUCGCGGCCUAGCAGCUAGUUGGUGAGGUAAUGGCGCACCAAGGGGACGACGGGUAGCCGGCCUGAGAGAGUGACCGGCCACACUGGAACUGAGACACGGUCCAGACUCCUACGGGAGGCAGCAGUGGGGAAUAUUGCACAAUGGGCGAAAGCCUGAUGCAGCAACGCCGCGUGAGGGAUGAAGGCCUUCGGGUUGUAAACCUCUUUUAGCAGGGAAGAAGCGAAAGUGACGGUACCUGCAGAAAAAGCACCGGCUAACUACGUGCCAGCCGCCGCGGUAA
rnacentral:rRNA from 1 species